rnacentral:rRNA from 1 species
UACGUAGGGGCCGAGCGUUGUCCGGAGUUACUGGGCGUAAAGCGCGCGCAGGCGGCUCGUCAAGCCUGACGUGAAAGCCCCCGGCUCAACCGGGGAGGGUCGUCGGGGACUGGCGGGCUUGAGGUCGGCAGGGGUUGGUGGAAUUCCCGGUGUAGUGGUGAAAUGCGCAGAUAUCAGGAGGAACACCGGUGGCGAAGGCGGGUCUCUGGGCCGAUACUGACGCUGAGGAGCGAAAGCGUGGGGAGCGAACAGG